rnacentral:tRNA from 1 species
GUGCACUUAGCUCAGUGGUUAGAGAGCCCUUCUAGAGUUUGGGGUAAAAUAAGUCAUGGGUUCAAAUCCCAUAAUGCACA